rnacentral:rRNA from 1 species
CCUACGGGGGGCAGCAGUAGGGAAUUUUCGUCAAUGGGCGCAAGCCUGAACGAGCAAUGCCGCGUGAACGAGGAAGGUCUUCGGAUCGUAAAGUUCUGUUGAAGGGGAAAAAGAGCGGAGAGAGGAAAUGCUUUCUGAUUGAUAUUACCCUUCGAGGAAGCACCGGCUAACUCCGUGCCAGCAGCCGCGGUAAUACGGAGGGUGCGAGCGUUAAUCGGAAUUACUGGGCGUAAAGCGCUCGUAGGCGGUAUGUCAAGUCAAGGGUGAAAUCCCCGCGCUCAACGUGGGAACUGCCUUUGAAACUG